GGAUAAGAGUCCGGUUACUUCAUCGAUUUCUUGAGCUUCAUCCAAACAAAGUCUAAUCCGAACGAAGCUUCAUCGGAUUCUUGAGCGGUUUAUACCUAAACCGCACGCCACUUGAGAAGGGAGGAGAUUACACCGCACACCUAUUGAUCGGAUUGUUCUCCGGUUUGCUUCAAGACUUCAAUCGAUUUCUCGGCUAAGGGUAAACCGCACAAAGUUUCAUCGGUUUUCUGAGCGGAUUCUGAGUUUUCCUUGAGUGGUUUAAGCUAAACCGCACAACUCAUCAGGUUCUUAACAGGUUAUGUAACAGGUUCUUGUUUGCUGUUUUGAGAUCAUUUAGUGCAGUAAAUGGGCUGUUUGGUACAGCAGUAACAGCAACAAGUGACUCAAGCAUUAACAGUUUGGAAGCUGUUGGUGUAGAGAAGAAACAAGAACAGUAGCAGCAAUUUUUUUACAGCAACCAUCUUGACAGCAGUUCCAGUUCUGGUAACAGAAGGUUUAACAGAAGAUUUAUCUGUGUUUGCAAUUUAUAGACUGGAUCACAGCAGCAGAUUUAAAACAGAUUUAUAGAAGGUCUUGCCCUGCUUUCGAUCUGUUUUACCAGAUCCAUCUGCUUUGGGACUGUUUGAAACUACAAAACAGUUAAACAGUAUUUGUUUGACAGCAAACUGUUUUUAUUGAUAUAUCAAGACUGUUUGCUUCAUAUGUCUUGACAACAGGUUAUUUUGUUGAAUGAGUGCUUCCUUUGCUGUUUGCUAGACUGUUUAAGGCUGUUUUGAAGCAGUUGCUCAACUAAAACAGGAGGUUUUGUCAUAAGCUACUAAUGAUGUUUGUUUAAGUAUUUGUGAUUUGGCAGCAUACACUGUUUUAGUAAAUUGUUGUCUAAAACAGCAGCUCAGGUAAAUCAUAAUACAUUUUGGAAGGUUUUCAAGCAUAGCAAGGAUUGGUUUUGGACAGUUUAACUAGAUUUAAAAGCCUGUUGAAUUGACUUUGCUUUUUGGGAUUAAGAUCAAGUCACAGCAGCCCAAUUGAAGCAACUGAUAAGAGAAGCAUUCACGUGGAUAUUUGGAUAGAAUUUCAAGUGCAGAUAGAAUAUUUUUUUUGUACUACAUCUGUAUUGUAAAGCGUUGCUCUUGUGAUUGGUUUGGACUACUCAGUUUUUGGACUGUUUAUAGUUUCUUAGAAUCAUU